UACGUAGGGUGCGAGCAUUGUCCGGAAUUAUUGGGCGUAAAGAGCUCGUAGGCGGUCCAUCGCGUCGGGAGUGAAAAGCUGGGGCUUAACCCCAGUCCUGCUUUCGAUACGGGUGGACUAGAGGUAGGCAGGGGAGAAUGGAAUUCCUGGUGUAGCGGUGAAAUGCGCAGAUAUCAGGAGGAACACCGAUGGCGAAGGCAGGUCUCUGGGCCACUACUGACGCUGAGAAGCGAAAGCAUGGGGAGCGAAACAGG
rnacentral:rRNA from 1 species